CAAAUUCCAUUCCACACCUCCAUGUUUGCUCCUCAGUGACCGAUAUGGGCAACUUGUGUGUUUCAUUGAGGCCCUUUUCCCCAUUAGCCCCAGACCUGGAGAGGGGUGGCACUGGGAAGUCCUGAGCUGAGCCUCCUCGCUGGCGUUGAGAAAGCACAAGCAAGAAUGUGUGAGAAGAUCACAGAGACCUAAAGAAGGGGAAGGGAAGAACCCACAUGUGAGAGAGAAGAGAUUGUCUGACUUGGUCUCUUAGGGCUCCUCAUCUCAAGAAGCCAGCAGGCAAGGGAAGGACAAACCAUCCUUGCAGGAAUAAUUCGUACUGAUCAUUUGGAGGAGAUACGGCUAGUAUAGCUGCUGUUACAUAAUGAAGAAAAGCAAGAAUAUGUUUCAAACUCAGAUGAACCACUGGGGAGUCUCUUGAUACUCUGUUGCCUAAUUUGGAUGGUUAAUGGGUGUUGCGCCUUAAAGCACUAUCCAAUAAACCUCCUGCAUGCAAAUCUCCAUCUCAGAAUCUGUAUCCAAGAGAUUCUACUCAAGACAUCAUCUUUUCCAGUCAGUGUUCCUAAUUGCACUGCCCCUGGAAAACGCACGGAGAAGAAAUACAGCAAAAUACGUGAGAUGGUGAAACACUCUGGCAACUGCAAGCAGACAGAUGGGAUCUGGGAGGGACUCCCAUCUUCUGCAUGGCAUCAGCACAAGGGUGAAGAGGGAAGAUAAAGGAUCAUGCAGGGAGUUUCAUGGACUAGGCCUGGAAGUGCCAUAUUCCACUGCUGCUUGUGUUCCAGAAGGCAGCCACACAGCCACAAGGGAUUGUAAAGGAAGCUGAAAAAUAUGAUCGAGCAUUGUGUCUGGGAAGAGAGGGAAAUGGGUAUGGUGCAUGACUAACCAGUGUUUGUCACAGCACAGAAAGUAAGGUAUAAAGGAAACAACUCACUCUGUAUUCCCUAAGACAGUUGUGCUAAUAGCAUUAGCAGAAUUGUUAAUGUUAGCAGAAAUAACAGUUAAUUGUUCAGGUGUAGAACCCCCAGGGUGAGCUGGGAAUUCUCUCUUGAAUGACAGUCUUCCAUUUUGUCUCUUCUUCUUAGUCUUUUCUGCCAUUGCCUUUGUUCAGAUCUUUUCUACCUUGUAUCCAGCUUGCUGGAACCUCCACCUUCCUGGCCUGAAAGAACUAGCUUGUGAGCAUGUAUCAUGUUUGCUUUCUUCUGCAAGUUGGCUCAUACAUUUUAUUAUUACCUAAUGCUGCGUAAAAACUCAUUCCAAAACUCAGUGGCUUAAAACAGCAGUACAUUUUUAUAUCUCUCAUGGUUUCUGUGGGUCAGGAAUUUGGGGAGCAGCUUAGCUGGGUGGUUUUGGUUUGGGGUUUCUCUUGGGGUUGAACUGAGAUAUCUGCUGGGCUUUGCAGUCAUCUGAAAACUUACUGGGGGCUCAAGGUGGUUCACACAUGUGGAUGGCAAGUUGGUACUGGCUGUUGGCAAGAUGUCUCAGUAUCUCUCUAAGCAGGCCUCUCUUCAUGGCUGCUUGAGUGACUUCAUGGAAUGGUGGCUGACUUCUCCCAGAAUAAAUGAUUUAAGAGCCAAGGUAAAGCCAUAUGCCCUUUAUAACCGGGCCUCAGAAAUCCCUCACUGUCACCUCUGCCAUACUCUACUGUUCAUGUGAAUGACCCUGAUUCAGUGUGGGAAGAGACUAUGCAGGGCAUAAUACCAGAAGGCAAAAAUCACUGGGGGCAAUUUGGGAGGCUGGCCACCACACAGACUGCAUUUCAACUGUGCACCUCCCUCAAUCUCAACUUUUUCCAUACUCUCUCACUUUCUCUUCCACUUUCUGUAUUCAGAUCAAAGCCCAUCGCUUCAUGAAGUAUGCCCUGACCACUCAGCAACUAGCACUCCCAUUGCAAUUCAUUGUUCUUGCCACAUAUAUGGUCUUUAUAAUUUAACACCCUGCUUUGAAGAUGUACACGUGUGUCUGUUCUUUCAGAUGGAAUUUAAAGAAUCGUAUACUAUACUCCCUGUCAUAUAGUAGGCACUCAAUAAAUAUUUUUUCUAUGGAUGAAUGAAUGAGUGAAUGAAGAGUACAAGCCAGAAUCCCUGUGUCCCUACCUGUGGGCUUUUCCCUUGCUGCUUGACCUUAGUGAAGUCACUCCACCUCUCAGUCUGCUAACUCCUCCAUAAAAUGAAGAUAAUUAUACCCACCCCAGCUGUCACAGACAUGCUUUGACAUUUGAAAGAGGCAGCACUUAUAAAAGUGUUUUCGAGUGUAUAAAGAACAGGGCAAGGUGGUGUUAGUUACCUGGUUCACAAGUGAUGGCUGACAUGUAUGGCAUUGUCAUGGGAUUGAGAUCAGUCAAUCCCUCUGACUUCCGCCUCAAGAAACAGUUCACACCCACACCAAGCUACACAAAGAGUCUUUGUUCAUUCCAACAGCUGCUCCUUCAGCACGUCAUGGUCACGACCAGGAGAGGCCCUGGGCAGAGAGAACUGCCUGGUCCGGGUUGCUAGGCCCCUUCACAGUCACACUCUGGAGACGUCAAAGCCCAAAGGCAAAGUUUAUUUCUCUAGUAGAAUUCUCAGGUUUCCUUUCCCUUUGUACACUCUGGUUUUAUAAUGUUUUUAUUAUAGAUAAUUGUCUAGGGAUAAUUUUUUUUGCAUCUAACUCUUUUAAAUAAAAAUUAACAUAAAGUAAAUUAGUGUCUUUUUUUGGUGUAGAGUUCCAUGAAUUUUAACCCAUGGGUCAAUUUAUGUAGCUACUGCCAGCACAAUCAGGACCCAGAGCAGUUCCAUCACCCCCAGCAAAGUCCCACGUUCUUUCCUGUUGUAGUCACACCCCUGCCCCCACCCACACUGAUGUCAAUCACUGAUAUGUCCUCCAUCACAGUUUUGUCUUUUUCAGAAUAUCACACACAUGCAAUCAUACAGUACGCGCCCUUUAGAAAUUUUUUUUUCACUUGACAUAUCCUUGAGAUUCAUCCAAGCCUAUUUCUCUUUAUUACAAAGUAAUAUUCCUUUGUAAGGAAGUACCUCUAUUUGUUUAUUCACCCACCUGUUGAAGGACAUUUGGAGUGGGAUUGUUGGCACAUAUGGUAAAUGUAUGUUUAACUUUCCAAAAUCUGCCAAACUAUUUUCCAGAGUGGCUUUAAUGUUUUCAUUCCCAAAAGCAUUGUGUGAGAUAUCCCAGUUGCUCCUCAUCCUCACCAACACUUGGUAUUGCAUUUGAUUUUUGAGCCAUUCUUAUAGACGUGUUGUGGUAUGUCAUGGGUUUAAUUGGCAUCUCCCUCAAAAGUAAAGUGUUUGUUCAAGUCUGUGUAUACUUUUUAAUUGCUUGUUUUCUUAUUGUUGAAUUUUGAGACUUAUUUAUGUGUUCUGAAUACAUGUCCUCUGUCAGAUACAUGAUUUACAAAUAUUUUCAUCCAAUCUGUGAGUUGUCUUUUCAUUCUCUCAACAAGGUCUUUGUAGAAAGAAAUUUUUAAUUUUGAUGAAGUUCAAUUUAUUAAUUUUUAAUGUUACUGAUUAUGCUUUUGGUAAGAUGUCUAAGAAUUCUUUGCCUAACCACAGUUCGUAAUACAGAAAAGUUUGUAAUAUGGGAAAAUACAGGCUGCUUUCUCCUACAUUUACUUUUAACAUUUUUAUUUUUUAAAUUUUACAUUUAGACCUAUGAUCCAUUUGGAGUUAAUUUUUGAGUAAGGUGUGAGGUUGUGAGAAUUUCAAGGUUCUUUUUUCUUUUCAUUUUUUUGUAUAUGGUUGCCCAAUAGUUUCAACACUAUUUAUUGGUUUCAGAAGUUUUCCUCUAGAUUUUCUGGGAAUUUCCACAUAAGCAAUCAUGUCGUCUGGACUAGAGACAGUGUUAUUUAUUCCUUUCUAAUCUGUAUGCCUCUUUUUAUCUUCUUCCUGAUGCAUUGAACUGGCUAGGACUUCCAGUACAAUCCCAGUAAUAAAAGCAAUGUAAGUGGAACCACUUCUCUUGUAUCCAGUCUUAAGUGGAGGGCAUUCAGUGCUUCACCAAUGAGUGUGAUGCUAGCUGUAUGUUUUUUAAUUUUGUAAAGUGCUUUGUCUGCAUCAAUUAAUAUGAUCAUAUGUUUUUUCUUCUUUAGACUUUCAGUAUGGUGGAUUGAAUUACAGUUUUAAAUUCACAAAGAAAAGGGAACACUUACACACUGUUGGUGGGAGUGUAAAUUAGUUCAACCAUUGUGGAAAGCAGUAUGACUAUUUCUGAAACAGCUAAAAGCAGAUCUACCUUUUGACCCAGCAACUCCAUUACUGGGUAUAUACCUAGAGGAAUAUAAAUCAUUCUACCAUAAAGACACAUGCAUGCAAAUAAUCAUUGCAGCACUGUUCGCAAUGGCAAAGUCAUGGAAUCAAUCGAAAUGCCCAUCAAUGGUAGAUUAGAUAAAGAAAAUGUGAUACAUAUACACCAUGGAAUACUAUGGAGCCAUAAACAAUAAUGAGAUCAUGUCUUUUGCAGGAAUAUGGAUGGAGCUGGAGGCUAUUAUCUUUAGCAAAUUAACUCAGGAACAGAAAACCAAAUACUGCAUUCCACUGUAAGUGGGAGCUAAGUGAUGAGAACUUAUUAACACAAAGAUGGGAACAACAGACACUGGGUUCUACUUGAGGGUGAAGGGAGGCAGGAGCGAGAGGAACAGAAAAGAUAACUAUUGGGUACUGGGCUUAAUACCUGGGGGAUGAAAUAAUCUGUAUAACAAACUCCCGUGAUAUGAGUUUACCUAUGUAACAAAUCUUCACAUGUACCCCCAAACUUAAAAGUUUUUAAAAAAAUUAUCAGCUUAGAUUAGUGAUUUGAGAUCUUGCUUCUUUUCCAAUAUAACCAUUUAGAUUAGCGAUUUGAGACCUUCUUUUCAAAUAUGACCAUUUGUUGUAUUAAUAGGCUUUUAAAUGUUUUGUUUCAUUGACAAAUUUUGACAUGUUGUAUUUUUAUUUAUAUUUAGUUAAAAAUAUUUUACAAUUAUUCUGGAGACUUCCCCUUUGAAUUAUGAAUAAUUUUGAAAUGUGUGGUUUAAUUUCUCACUGAACAAUUUCCUAUUCUUGUUCUGUUAUUGAUUUUGAGUCUAAUUCCAUACUUCUAAAGACUUCAAUUCUUUUGAAUUUUUUAUUAUUUGCUUUAUGACAAAAGAUAUGAUUUAUUUUGAUGAACAUUUCAUGUGCACAUGAAAAGAUUUGUAUUUGCUGUUUUUGGUAGAGUAGUCUGUACGUGUCAGACCUACUUAAUGGUGCUGUUCUUUUCUUCCAUAUCCUGGCUGAUCAAAUGUCUACUAGCUCUAUUGAUAUUGAAAAAGAAGUGUUGAAGUCUCCAACUAUGAUUUUGAAUUUGUCUAUUUCUGUUUUCAGUUUUGUGACUUUUUGCUUAAUCUAAUUUGAAACUCUGUUGUUAAAUGCAAAUACAUUAGUUAGAUGGUAUUUCUUCUUGGUGAAUUGAUCAAUUAUAAUUAUGUAAUGUUCCUCUUUAUUUCUAGUAAGUUUUUUCCUUUGAAGUCUACUUUGUCUGAUAUUAAUAUUGCCCUUUCAGCUGUCUUUUGAUUUGUGUGUGCAUAAUAUUUCUCUUUCUGUACUUUUCCUUUUAACAUACCUUUAUCAUUAUAGUUAAAAUGGAUUUUUUGUAUGCAGAAUAUUGUUGGGUCUUUUUUUAUGCAUUCUGAUAAUCUCUGACUUUCUUGGUGUUUUUAGAGCACUUACAUUUAAUGUUAUUUUAUAUGUUUUACUUAGGCCUCUUUUAAAAAUCAUUUUUUAAGUAA